UAAGUGAAACUUUAGGUUUUUUAUCAGCGUUAAAUUGUGCUCAGCUGGUUAAACACCUGGCUGACGUUAAAGUUCAUGGUAGCGAAAGUAACUGAACGAGGAAGCGUUUCCAACGAUUGACAGCGCUGACACCCAGCACUUCCUUAUUAAUACAACUCGUAGUCAAGUAGAGGCAGUUUCGAUGCAUCUGAGUCUUUCAAAGCUGAUACUCAGAGAUUGCUAUUUUCAGUAUGCGAAACAGACAGAGGG